GUCCGUCGCUUUCUGAUGAAUUCAUCGGCCCCGGGCGCCGCAGGGGAAUCUGGCCCCCGGAGGCUGGUGCUCGAACCCUGAACUCUCGUCUCCUGCGGACUGACAGGUUUGUCGGCCACGCGGACAGGAGAUUGAAUUAGUUCUCAGUAAUGGGGAGAACCUACAUUGUAGAAGAGACUGUUGGCCAGUAUCUUUCAAACCUCAAUCUCCAAGGAAAGUCUUUGGUCUCCGGUCUUUUAAUAGGACAGUGUUCUCCACAAAAGGAUUAUGUGCUUCUUGCCACUAGAACACCACCCAAAGAGGAAAAAAAUGAGAACCUCAAACAUCCCGAAGAUAAGUUGGAUAACUUGGAUGAAGAAUGGGCCACAGAGCAUGCUAACCAGGUAUCCAGAAUGCUACCUGGUGGACUCUUAGUUCUUGGAGUAUUUAUUAUUACAACAUUAGAAAUGGGAAAUGAUUUUCAAAACACCCUGCGCAGACUAGUAUUUGCUGUGGAAAAAUCUAUGAAUAAAAAGAGACUGUGGAAUUUCACAGAGGAGGAAGUCUCAGAGCGAGUGACACUUCACAUUUGCUCUUCUACAAAAAAAAUAUUUUGUCGAACUUAUGAUAUCCAUGAUCCAAAGACUUCAGCAAAACCAGCAGACUGGAAGUAUCAAAAUGGACUGUCAACUUCAUGGCUUUCUUUGGAGUGUACAGUUCAUAUUAAUAUUCACAUCCCAUUGUCUACUACUUCUGUCAGCUAUACUUUGGAGAAAAAUACAAAGAAUGGACUUGCACGCUGGGCCAAGCAAAUAGAAAAUGGUGUUUAUUUGAUAAAUGGACAAGUUAAAGCUGAAGAUUGUGACCUACUAGAAGGACAGAAAAAAUCUAGAGGAAAUGCUCAAGCAAGUAGCCAUUCUUUUGAUGUCAGAGUGUUAACGCAGUUGCUUCUGAAUUCAGAUCACAGAUCCACAGCCACCGUCCAGAUUUGCAGCGGCUCUAUAAACCUUAAGGGUGCUGUGAAAUGCAGAGCGUAUAUUCACAGCAAUAAACCCAAAGUUAAAGAUGCUGUGCAGGCAGUGAAGAGAGAUAUAUUGAAUACAGUUGCUGAUCGUUGUGAAAUACUCUUUGAGGAUCUGAUUUUGAAUGAAAUUCCAGAAAAAAAAGAUUCUGAAAAAGAGUUUCACAUCCUUCCUCACCGAGUUUUUGUCCCCAUUCCGGGAUCCACAGUAAUGUUAUGUGAUUAUAAAUUUGGCGAUGAGUCAGCUGAAGAAAUCAGAGACCAUUUUAUAGAGAUGUUAGAUCAGAGGAUUCAAAUAGAAGAUUUGGAAAUUGCAGAGGAAAUAAACACAGCUUUUCUGAGCUCCUCUAUGAAUACUGAAGCUUCAUUGGACAACACACAUGAUGAUCAACCAAAAGAGCCAAUCAAAACUACAGUAGUAGUGAAAAUUCAACAAAACAUGGGUAUGAUUGCAGCAUUUGCAGUUGCAGUCCUUGCUGCGGGUAUCUCCUUUCACUACUUCAGUGAUUAGGGUGAGGCACAAAGAGCUUGCUGAUCAUCCAGAAAAUACUGACCAACAAUUAUGAAUAAUAAAGAUGCAAGCAAGACAUCUGCAUUUAAGACAACAGCAGCCAGACCUGCUGCCAAACUCCUAUUAGAUUUUAGUCCUCUUGAUCUGGAUCACAUAUUCAUCAGGACAUUGAAAAUUUGAAUAGUCAGGGUUGGCUGAAUAUCUUAGUGAUAGAACAACAGGAGAAAGUUCUACAAAGUGGGGCAACAACCUAUUGGGUAAGUUCAUACUGUAGGACCUUUCUAAUGUAUACCUAGUUCCAAAAUAUUGAUCAAGUUCUGAUCAAGGUGUAGGAAACCUUUCCAGAUUUGAAUCAGUAAGGGUUGCCAGAAAUCAUGUGCUUUCUCAUGUUUGCAUAUCAUAAUUAUUUUACUCUAUUAAAUAAAACUUUUCUUCCAGCAGCACAUUAGACUAGGUACUGCAAAACAGCUAGAUCCUGAAUAAAAAUAUACCUUUGAAUGCAUUAAUAGGCUCAAGGAAAGUAGGGGAGAUCUCCAAGGACCAUACCUUUAUUUUUCUUUCCCCACAAAAAUGAACACAUUUUGAAUUGGAAAUCGUGGAUAUUGUGUUAAGCAUACAGGUGGACUAUGGUUGCUCAGAUGGCAGAUACCAAUUUUAGCACUGCCUUAUGCCGUUUGCCUCAGACCACAAACAAGGGGAUUAAGCGGAAUCUGAGACUCUACCCUAGCCAGCACAGUUGAAGCUGCCCUCGUCUUGAAGUUCCCUACAACUCCUGACAGAAGCAAGAAAUAGGCCAGAGAUUCUCAUAGAUUAAGAUAAAGCAAUGUCAUUUCAUGACUAGAGAUCAUCAGGCACAAGCUGAAGCUAGCUAGCAUGAGAAAGAACCUAUAGAAAUAACCAGCUUUGGAUUAAAUUCUCCAAGGUCUCAUCACCAACAUACAUGAAGGAUGGAACCACAGGCAGAUAUGCAAAAUAAAGAAAUGGAACUGCUAGAAAUGAGAAAUGUUACUUGAAAUUAAAAAAACCCUAAGACUUUGAAUAUCGUAUUAGACUAAGCUGAAAAGACAGUGGAUAAACUGAAAGCUAAAGCUAAAGAAAUGACCCCGUGCACAGCAAGGAGAAAUGAGUUGCUGGAAGAUCUAAAUACUAAGGUAUCGAGGGAAGAAUUAUGGAGACUGAAGUACCAGGGGGAGAGAAUGGAGCAGUGGCAAUAUUUGAAGAAAUAACUUCCCACAUUUGUUGGAAAACAUGAAUUCAUAAAUUCAGGAAGCCCAGUCUGUCCCA